rnacentral:rRNA from 1 species
UCCAGACUCCUACGGGAGGCAGCAGUGGGGAAUAUUGGGCAAUGGGGGAAACUCUUACCCAGCAAUGCCGCGUGAAUGAAGAAGGUCUUCGGAUUGUAAAGUUCUUUAAUUGGGGACGAAAAAAAUGACGGUACCCAAGGAAUAAGCCACGGCUAACUACGUGCCAGCAGCCGCGGUAAUACGUAGGUGGCAAGCGUUGUCCGGAUUUACUGGGUGUAGAGGGCGUGUAGCCGGGCUGACAAGCCAGAUGUGAAAUUCCGGGGCUCAACCCCGGACCUGCAUUUGAAACUGUUGGUCUUGAGUAUCGGAGAGGCAGGCGGAAUUCCUAGUGUAGCGGUGAAAUGCGUAGAUAUUAGGAGGAACACCAGUGGCGAAGGCGGCCUGCUGGACGACAACUGACGGUGAGGCGCGAAAGCGUGGGGAGCAAACAGGAUUAGAUACCCCAGUA